AAAGGAAUAGACGGGGACCCGCACAAGCGGUGGAGCAUGUGGAUUAAUUCGAAGAUACGCGAAGAACCUUACCAAGGCUUGACAUGGAGACGAUGAGUAUGGAAACAUGCUUUCCCUUCGGGGCGUCUCACACAGGUGGUGCAUGGUUGUCGUCAGCUCGUGUCGUGAGAUGUUGGGUUAAGUCCCGCAACGAGCGCAACCCUUAUGUUUAGUAGCCAACGGGUAAUGCCGGGUACACUAGAGAUACUGCCGUGGAUGACACGGAGGAAGGUGGGGAUGAGGUCAAAUCAUCAUGCCCCUUAUGUCUUGGGCCUCACACGUGCUACAAUGGCUCGAACAAAGUGAAGCAAGGCAGUGAUGCGGAGCAAAACACAAAAACGAGUCUCAGUUCGGAUUGUAGUCUGCAACCCGACUACAUGAAGUUGGAAUCGCUAGUAAUCGCAAAUCAGCAUGUUGCGGUGAAUACGUUCCCGGGUCUUGUACACACCGCCCGU
rnacentral:rRNA from 1 species